UACGUAGGGUGCGAGCGUUGUCCGGAAUUAUUGGGCGUAAAGAGCUCGUAGGCGGUUCGUCGCGUCGAAUGUGAAAACCCGGGGCUCAACUCCGGGCCUGCAUUCGAUACGGGCGGACUAGAGUUCGGUAGGGGAGACUGGAAUUCCUGGUGUAGCGGUGAAAUGCGCAGACAUCAGGAGGAACACCGGUGGCGAAGGCGGGUCUCUGGGCCGAUACUGACGCUGAGGAGCGAAAGCGUGGGGAGCGAACAGG
rnacentral:rRNA from 1 species